rnacentral:rRNA from 1 species
UAGGGAAUCUUCGGCAAUGGACGGAAGUCUGACCGAGCAACGCCGCGUGAGUGAAGAAGGUUUUCGGUUCGUAAAGCUCUGUUGUUAGAGAAGAACGUUGGUAGGAGUGGAAAAUCUACCAAGUGACGGUAACUAACCAGAAAGGGACGGCUAACUACGUGCCAGCAGCCGCGGUAAUACGUAGGUCCCGAGCGUUGUCCGGAUUUAUUGGGCGUAAAGCGAGCGCAGGCGGUUCUUUAAGUCUGAAGUUAAAGGCAGUGGCUUAACCAUUGUACGCUUUGGAAACUGGAGGACUUGAGUGCAGAAGGGGAGAGUGGAAUUCCAUUAGUAGCGGUAAAAUGCGAAGAUAUAUGGAGGAACACCGGCGGCGAAAGCGGCUCACUGGUCUGUAACUGACGCUGAGGCUCGAAAGCGGGGGGAGCAAACAGG